CUGGGGGCUGCAUUCCAAACUGGAUAUCUAGAGUGCAGGAGAGGAAAGCGGAAUUCCUAGUGUAGCGGUGAAAUGCGUAGAGAUUAGGAAGAACACCAGUGGCGAAGGCGGCUUUCUGGACUGUAACUGACGCUGAGGCACGAAAGCGUGGGUAGCAAACAGGAUUAGAUACCCUGGUAGUCCACGCCGUAAACGAUGGAUACUAGGUGUAGGGGGUAUCAACUCCCCCUGUGCCGCAGUUAACACAAUAAGUAUCCCGCCUGGGGAGUACGGUCGCAAGAUUAAAACUCAAAGGAAUUGACGGGGGCCCGCACAAGCAGCGGAGCAUGUGGUUUAAUUCGAAGCAACGCGAAGAACCUUACCUGGACUUGACAUCCCUUGCAUAGCCUAGAGAUAGGUGAAGCCCUUCGGGGCAAGGAGACAGGUGGUGCAUGGUUGUCGUCAGCUCGUGUCGUGAGAUGUUAGGUUAAGUCCUGCAACGAGCGCAACCCUUGUUAUUAGUUGCUACCAUUAAGUUGAGCACUCUAAUGAGACUGCCUGGGUAACCAGGAGGAAGGUGGGGAUGACGUCAAAUCAUCAUGCCCCUUAUGUCCAGGGCUACACACGUGCUACAAUGGUAGGUACAAUAAGACGCAAGACCGUGAGGUGGAGCAAAACUUAUAAAACCUAUCUCAGUUCGGAUUGUAGGCUGCAACUCGCCUACAUGAAGCUGGAGUUGCUAGUAAUCGCGAAUCAGAAUGUCGCGGUGAAUACGUUCCCGGGCCUUGUACACACCGCCCGUCACACCAUGAGAGCUGGUAACACCCGAAGUCCGUGAGGUAACCGUAAGGAGCCAGCGG
rnacentral:rRNA from 1 species